GGGGAAAGAAGCGUCUGCGCUGGCAAGCUCUCCCGGCAGCGCCGAGAGCCAGAGCUGCGGUGCUGCUGCGCCGAUGCUCCGUACGUUCGCAGUAGCGGGUAGAGCGGAAGGCUCUGUGGCCAGGGAAGAGCGGCACGGACACGUUCCUGCUCGCUCCGUUGCACCGGAAUUUCGACGGCUGGGUUCGGCCGCUAAAUUGAUGGCGCUACCGGAAGAAAUUUCAGAAAAAAAGGGUGGCUUUUUCGUCGAUCUCUUUGUGAGAGUAUCAAAUCAGGCGGCGGUAAAUACGUAGAAGCAGCUGGGCGUACUACGGCGUGUACCGGACAGCGUUGGCGUGCCGCUCUGCUAGCAGCGGAGAGCCAGAUGAGGAUGCCCGUGAUAUGAGAAAAGCUCUGUCCAGAGAUAUGGAGACGAAAUCAGUUGUACCUCACCCUGUGACACCGGAAGACAUUGAGUAACUGUAAGCUGUGAUGCUCAGUGAAAUUACUAAGAGCGUUAAGUUUCCCGUGCCUUUGCUUUCACUCUCCCAUUCUCUUGUCUUGCGGCACGUCGCAUUUGUUGAGGCCGUGGAAGCGACACCGGGAGCGAUGGGUUGUCAGAACCAGGUCCUCCUGCCUGUCGCUGGUUUUGCUUACCUUCGCCGUCUCUGUGUACCAGCCUGCAUCUCUCUCUCUGUUCCUCAA